rnacentral:rRNA from 1 species
CCUACGGGACGCAGCAGUGAGGAAUAUUGGUCAAUGGUCGGGAGACUGAACCAGCCAAGCCGCGUGAGGGAUGAAGGUACAGAGUAUCGUAAACCUCUUUUGUCGGGGAGCAAGGCCCGCCACGUGUGGCGGGAAGGAGAGUACCCGAAGAAAAAGCAUCGGCUAACUCCGUGCCAGCAGCCGCGGUAAUACGGAGGAUGCGAGCGUUAUCCGGAUUUAUUGGGUUUAAAGGGUGCGUAGGCGGAAGGUUAAGUCAGCGGUCAAAUGUCGGUGCUCAACACCGGCCUGCCGUUGAAACUGGUCUU